GUACCCGCUUUGGCAGCACAUAUACUAAAAUUUGGAGCGAUAUAGAGAAGAAUUAGCAUGGCCCCUGUGCAAGGAUGACAUGCAAAUUUGUGAAGUGUUCCAUAUUUUU
rnacentral:snRNA from 1 species